rnacentral:rRNA from 1 species
GUUAAACGGCCGCGGUACCCUGACCGUGCGAAGGUAGCAAAAUCACUUGUUCUUUAAAUCAGGACCAGUAUCAAUGGCCUCACGAGGGCUAAACUGUCUCCCCCCUCUAAUCAGUGAAACUGAUCUCCUCGUGAAGAAGCGAGGAUAUCGAAAUAAGACGAGAAGACCCCAUGGAACUUUAAACUCGUACCACUGCCCUAAAUACACCACUAAGACCCGGGCACAAUGGCUACUAGUCUUUCGGCUGGGGCGACCGAGGAGAAAAAUCAAACCUCCACGAUGAACGGGGACACCCCUAAUCCCAGAAUUACCAUUCCAAGAAUCAAUAAAUUGACACCAUUGACCCAAAUACAUUGAUCAACGAACCAAGCUACCCUGGGGAUAACAGCGCAAUCCACUUCAAGAGCCCCCAUCGACAAGUGGGCUUACGACCUCGAUGUUGGAUCAGGGCAUCCCGAUGGUGCAGCCGCUAUCAAGGGUUCGUUUGUUCAACGAUUAAAGCCCC